UAGGGAAUCUUCGGCAAUGGGGGGAACCCUGAACGAGCAACGCCGCGUGAGUGAAGACGGUUUUCGGAUCGUAAAGCUCUGUUGUUAAGGAAGAACGAGUGUGAGAAUGGAAAGUUCAUGCUGUGACGGUACUUAACCAGAAAGGGACGGCUAACUACGUGCCAGCAGCCGCGGUAAUACGUAGGUCCCGAGCGUUGUCCGGAUUUAUUGGGCGUAAAGCGAGCGCAGGCGGUUAGAAAAGUCUGAAGUGAAAGGCAGUGGCUCAACCAUUGUAGGCUUUGGAAACUGUUUAACUUGAGUGCAGAAGGGGAGAGUGGAAUUCCAUGUGUAGCGGUGAAAUACGUAGAUAUUAGGAGGAAUACCAGUAGCGAAGGCGACUUUCUGGACACAAACUGACGCUGAGGUACGAAAGCGUGGGGAGCAAACAGG
rnacentral:rRNA from 1 species